AAGCGUGAACUCUGUUGCUGGAGUGGGGGGCAAAGCAUUAAAUGCGUAUUUGUCCAAAACAUGCCCAAGGAGCGCUCUGCCUCCC